UGGGGAAUAUUGGGGCAAUGGGGCGCAAGCCUGACCCAGCAACGCCGCGUGAGGGAAGAAGGUUUUCGGAUUGUAAACCUCUGUCCUAAGGGAAGAAAGGGAUGACGGUACCUUAGGAGGAAGCCCCGGCUAACUACGUGCCAGCAGCCGCGGUAAUACGUAUGGUGCAAGCGUUAUCCGGAUUUACUGGGUGUAAAGGGAGCGCAGACGGCAUGGCAAGCCAGAUGUGAAAGGUGGGGGCUCAACCCCCAAGCUGCAUUUGGAACUGUCAAGCUAGAGUAUCGGAGAGGUAAGUGGAAUUCCUAGUGUAGCGGUGAAAUGCGUAGAUAUUAGGAGGAACACCAGUGGCGAAGGCAGCUUACUGGACGAUAACUGACGUUGAGGCUCGAAAGCGUGGGGAGCAAACAGGAUUAGAUACCCUGGUAGU
rnacentral:rRNA from 1 species